GGAAUCUUCCGCAAUGGACGAAAGUCUGACGGAGCAACGCCGCGUGAGUGAUGAAGGUUUUCGGAUCGUAAAGCUCUGUUGUUAGGGAAGAACAAGUGCCGUUCGAAUAGGGCGGCACCUUGACGGUACCUAACCAGAAAGCCACGGCUAACUACGUGCCAGCAGCCGCGGUAAUACGUAGGUGGCAAGCGUUGUCCGGAAUUAUUGGGCGUAAAGGGCUCGCAGGCGGUUUCUUAAGUCUGAUGUGAAAGCCCCCGGCUCAACCGGGGAGGGUCAUUGGAAACUGGGGAACUUGAGUGCAGAAGAGGAGAGUGGAAUUCCACGUGUAGCGGUGAAAUGCGUAGAGAUGUGGAGGAACACCAGUGGCGAAGGCGACUCUCUGGUCUGUAACUGACGCUGAGGAGCGAAAGCGUGGGGAGCGAACAGGAUUAGAUACCCUGGUAGUCCACGCCGUAAACGAUGAGUGCUAAGUGUUAGGGGGUUUCCGCCCCUUAGUGCUGCAGCUAACGCAUUAAGCACUCCGCCUGGGGAGUACGGUCGCAAGACUGAAACUCAAAGGAAUUGACGGGGGCCCGCACAAGCGGUGGAGCAUGUGGUUUAAUUCGAAGCAACGCGAAGAACCUUACCAGGUCUUGACAUCCUCUGACAAUCCUAGAGAUAGGACGUCCCCUUCGGGGGCAGAGUGACAGGUGGUGCAUGGUUGUCGUCAGCUCGUGUCGUGAGAUGUUGGGUUAAGUCCCGCAACGAGCGCAACCCUUGAUCUUAGUUGCCAGCAUUCAGUUGGGCACUCUAAGGUGACUGCCGGUGACAAACCGGAGGAAGGUGGGGAUGACGUCAAAUCAUCAUGCCCCUUAUGACCUGGGCUACACACGUGCUACAAUGGACAGAACAAAGGGCAGCGAAACCGCGAGGUUAAGCCAAUCCCACAAAUCUGUUCUCAGUUCGGAUCGCAGUCUGCAACUCGACUGCGUGAAGCUGGAAUCGCUAGUAAUCGCGGAUCAG
rnacentral:rRNA from 2 species